UACGAAGGGGGCUAGCGUUGUUCGGAAUUACUGGGCGUAAAGGGCGCGUAGGCGGUGUGUCAAGUCAGGCGUGAAAGCCCCGGGCUCAACCUGGGAACCGCGCUUGAGACUGGCACGCUCGAGUUCGGGAGAGGAUGGUGGAAUUCCCAGUGUAGAGGUGAAAUUCGUAGAUAUUGGGAAGAACACCAGUGGCGAAGGCGGCUCACUGGCUCGUAACUGACGCUCAGGCGCGACAGCGUGGGGAUCAAACAGG
rnacentral:rRNA from 1 species